rnacentral:rRNA from 1 species
GAUGAACGCUGGCGGCGUGCCUAAUACAUGCAAGUCGAGCGAACAGACGAGGAGCUUGCUCCUCUGACGUUAGCGGCGGACGGGUGAGUAACACGUGGAUAACCUACCUAUAAGACUGGGAUAACUUCGGGAAACCGGAGCUAAUACCGGAUAAUAUAUUGAACCGCAUGGUUCAAUAGUGAAAGACGGUUUUGCUGUCACUUAUAGAUGGAUCCGCGCCGCAUUAGCUAGUUGGUAAGGUAACGGCGUACCAAGGCGACGAUGCGUAGCCGACCUGAGAGGGUGAUCGGCCACACUGGAACUGAGACACGGACCAGACUCCUACGGGAGGCAGCAGUAGGGAAUCUUCCGCAAUAGGCGAAAGCCUGACGGAGCAACGCCGCGUGAGUGAUGAAGGUCUUCGGAUCGUAAAACUCUGUUAUUAGGGAAGAACAAAUGUGUAAGUAACUAUGCACGUCUUGACGGUACCUAAUCAGAAAGCUACGGCUAACUACGUG